GUAGGUGGCAAGCGUUGUCCGGAAUUAUUGGGCGUAAAGCGCGCGCAGGCGGUUCUUUAAGUCUGAUGUGUAAGCCCACGGCUCAACCGUGGAGGGUCAUUGGAAACUGGAGAACUUGAGUACAGAAGAGGAAAGCGGAAUUCCACGUGUAGCGGUGAGAUGCGUAGAGAUGUGGAGGAACACCAGUGGCGAAGGCGGCUUUCUGGUCUGUAACUGACGCUGAGGCGCGAAAGCGUGGGGGAGCAAACAGGAUUAGAUACCCUGGUAGUCCACGCCGUAAACGAUGAGUGCUAAGUGUUAGGGGGUUUCCGCCCCUUAGUGCUGCAGCUAACGCAUUAAGCACUCCGCCUGGGAGUACGGCCGCAAGGCUG
rnacentral:rRNA from 1 species